rnacentral:rRNA from 1 species
GACGAAGGGGGCUAGCGUUGUUCGGAAUUACUGGGCGUAAAGGGCGCGUAGGCGGCCUACUAAGUCAGACGUGAAAUCCCCCGGCUUAACCUGGGAACUGCGUCUGAUACUGGAAGGCUUGAGGAUGGGAGAGGGAUGUAGAAUUCCAGGUGUAGCGGAUGAAAUGCGUAGAUAUCUGGAGGAAUACCGGUGGCGAAGGCGGCGAUCCUAGGACCAUUACGUGACGCUGAGGCGCGAAAGCUAGGGGAGCAAACGGG